ensembl:snRNA U6 U6 spliceosomal RNA
GUGCUUGCUUUGGCAGCACAUAUACAAAAAUUGGAACAAUACAGAGAAGUCUAUCAUGGUCCCAGCACAAGGAUGACAUGCAAAUUCGUGUAGUGUUCCAAAUUUUU